GGGCGGGGCGGCCUGGAGCGGGGAGCUGCGUGCCGCAAGUUUUGCCCGGAGUGCCAAAGUUGGGCUCAGCCCAGGUUCCUGGAAACUUGAGGAGCAAUCUUCUGUGCCUGAAGAAUGCAGUUCUCACCGGAUGUGUGUAUCCUACAUGAAGGGGAACAGAAGCAGGAUCAGCUGGGGUCCAGGAACUGUGUGAGACUGUGCUUGCAUGGCGGGUCUGAAGCUCACAUAUUCCUGUCUGGGUAUUCACCUUCAGCUUCAGAAGAGCUAUUGUCUCUCUUCUCUCAACUUCUGUACUUAGGAUUUCUACUUUGAUUUGCUGGAACCAUUUUUCUGCUCUUAGGAGAGAGCUGCCAGCUGGUGGAAGUUCCUCUGAGCUGACCAAAAGAGUAACUGACCUUCCACUAAUGCAUUAAUUUUUUUAGAGACAACUUCAGGAGAUUUGAGAGCACUCUGGAGUGAACCAGGAGGAAGCCUUGAACUACAAUUGUGUCAAUAAGAGUGGCUGUCCUUGGGAGAUGCUGAAGCUCAGCUUUAUCAUGAACUUUUCUUACACCCCUCAACAUAUGCACAAAGGACUUAAUUUUGUUUGGGAUUCAUGUGGUAUGAAAGAGUCAUGGCUGUAUGGGUUUCUUCCUCCCUUCACUUGAUGUCUGUAUGUUUCCUGCAGUCAGUAAUGAAGUCUGUACAAGGUCUGCUGACAUUUGGUUUGCUUUCAAGAGCUCUGAGUGACAGGUACUGUAAACAUCCUACACUCUCAGCUGUGGAAACUAAGAAAGCUGGGAGAAGGCUGUUUACUCUCCCUGGCUUGGAAAUCAUCUGGAGGGCGAGGAUGGAACGUUGUGAGCUCUGUGUUCAUUGUAUUUCUGACAGCCUGUACUUCUUAUUUUAUGUUUGGUGUCAGUAAACAAAUAAUAGCAUUAUAUCAUGCCAUCAAGCUCUUGAGUUCUGACUGAGGCUUGAACUCAUAAUAAUAAUUUUAAAAAAGGGCCUUUUGUACAAUACACUUAGCUGCAGUCCUGGCUUUAGGGAAACGCAAAUGGUAGCAGUAACACACAACAAGACCUUCAUCCUUAAAUACUGGGUAAAACAGACCUAUUUUACUGUUUGUUACAAGUUAGUGUGCAUGUUUUCAGGUCCACACAUCAGUGGUGUCUUUUGUUAAAGUCCUCCUUAAAUGUUUGGGUCUUGUGUUCACUCAAUUUAUGUUUUCCUACCUAGAGAGACUAGAAACAGAUGUCUGAAGGCAAAAAAAGGGUUCUCGGGGACUUCAAGUUUCAGUUCCUAUUUGAAGAAAUUGAGAUAUCAACCCCAGGUAGCUCUGUUUUUGAAUAAACUAAAUUAAAGAUGCAAAAGUAUUUAGCUUGGGUUUUAUACUAGCUCUUCUCUGCCACCUGCCAUCCAGACUGAAUUAUUGUUUGUACUUUUCUUGGCAAUCUUUCUUCUUUCUCUCGUUUCUAUUUCCCAUUAGUUAAGUAGGGCUUCUCAUUUUAAAUGUAGAAUAAUUUUUUACUUUCAUUUUAAAUCCAAAAUCGUACUGGCAUGGACUAAAUCCUCAUAAAAUGUACUUUUACAGCUAUUCUUAAGCAGUGAUGUUGGCAGAAAUGCUAUUAUUCAUGCACUUUCUUUUUUUAAAUUUAUUGGAGGGAGCCAUCUUUUGUGCUUUCAAAGAAUUUCUUCGUAAUUCAGUUAAGUGCAAAGAUAACCUUUUCUCUAUCGUCAUAUUUAAAGAUCUGCUGCUUUAGACUUUUAGCAAAAGUAUUUAAACAAAAAAGCUCUGAUAUAAGAAAUGUCCUAAAGAUUUUAAGUAAUUGGAUUUGGGAAGUGAUGGAAGUGGAAAGAGAACAGCAGAAUGGUAGAUCUUGUAAGGUUGUGAAAUAGUACUUCUGCAAAGUGGUCAAAAAAGGGAAUUCAAACAGGCAGAUCUUUAAAGAAAAGAGGGUGGGAAAAGUCCGUGUUCUGAAGCAGUAAUUAUUUAGGAAAAGGAAGUGGAGGGAAAGAAAGUCCUGGGGUCCAGUAAAGUACCAUAGACAGGGUUUAAGAUGAUGAGAUGAGGUCUGGCUUUACAUAAACCUGAAGAACUGGUGUUCAUGAGGUUUUGACUCUUGAUAUGUACAGUGAUACUACAAGUGAGGUUAGUCUUAUAAAAAGAUGGUUUUAUGGAGAAAUGAGUUGUUCAGACUAGUAAAACGAUAGAGGGUAGCAUUUCCUAACACACGUGGUUCCCUCGGCAGAGAGAUAUCUCCAACAGUGAUGGAGCACAGAAUUCUAUCCUCCAUCCUAUGAUAAUUCUGAUUGUAGGCUGUGCUGUUGAGAACACAGUUUCUUGAAAGGAGACGUCAGCUUUAAUAUGUGUUUUACUGUCUUUUUUGUUUUUAAUAUAGAUUUGCUUUAGGCUAGGAACCGCUGUUUUCUGUCAGAUGGAAAAAUCUAUGUUUAGCAUUAUCUAUUUGCUGUCUAAUGGUGAAAUUCCAGCUUUCGUUUUAUCUGUGUAAGUUGGGACUGUUGAAGCUUUUCUCAUACGUUUUUCCUUGGCCAUUCUUUCCUGUGGUUUCACUUGUGCUGGUAUUAAUGUUUGUUUAAACAGUGAGCUUACAGUGGCUCGACUCAGCUGAAAAUUAAACAAGCAAACCAGCUUUUAUCUGGACCAGAUGAGUAAGAGCUUACUGCACUACCAUGGUGCUGUGGCCAAAAUGCUGAUACCUUCAAACAUGUCCACCUUUCUGAAGGGCUAGAACAGAUUUUGCUGUAAAUAAGACCAUCGAAUCCUAAUGCAAUGAGAGAGUGAAAACACAGGAUUUUGAAUGCUCUUGUAUUUGGCAGUAGAUUGUUCUGUUGAUGCUGUUUGAAAGCAAUUGCCAGCAUAGUGCUGAAAUAAAUUUGGAUUAAAUUAUCAUGAUUAAAACUUUUGAUUUCUUGACAGCUAUUUAUGCUUCUGUGUCUUUGAAAGAUUUGUUUAUAAAGUGUAAUAAACAAAUUGUGUUGGUAAUGAGGAGCUACCAGUAA